rnacentral:miRNA from 1 species
CCCUUUGCUUGGCUCACU